rnacentral:snRNA from 1 species
AUAUCUUUGGUUAAGAUCAAGUGUAGUGGAGCAUUUGUUUUUAUCAGUUUAAUAUCUGAUAUAUGAACCAUGUGUUCACUGUGAUAUUAAAUUUAUUUUUUUGUGGGGGAGGGUCCACUACAGUACCUUGCCACUGGGGCCCCCCAUGUGUCGCCCAGCGUUGCCCAACCAUUUUUUGUGCGGGAGGGUCCAC